rfam:Capsicum annuum cultivar Zunla-1 chromosome 7, whole genome shotgun sequence
GUUCGUAUUUCUCCCACAUUGAAGUAUUUGGAACGAUACAGAGAAGAUUAGCAUGGCCCCUGCACAAGGAUGACACGCACAAAUCGAGAAAUGGUCCAAAAUUUU